rnacentral:rRNA from 1 species
AUUGAACGCUGGCGGCAGGCUUAACACAUGCAAGUCGAGCGAGCGGCGGACGGGUGAGUCAUGUCUGGGAAACUGCCUGAUGGAGGGGGAUAACUACUGGAAACGGUAGCUAAUACCGCAUACCAUCAGAUGUGCCCAGAUGGGAUUAGCUAGGAGGUGGGGUAAUGGCUCACCUGGGCGACGAUCCCUAGCUGGUCUGAGAGGAUGACCAGCCAACUUGGAACGGAGAGACGGUCAAGACGCCUACGGGAGGAAGCAGGGGGGAAUAUUGCACAAUGGGCGCAAGCCUGAUGCAGCCAUGCCGCGUGUAUGAAGAAGGCCGUCGGGUUGUAAAGCACGUUCAGCGAGGAGGCGUUACUCGCAGAAGAAGCACCGGCUAACUCCGUGCCAGCCGCCGCGGUAAUAC